rnacentral:tRNA from 1 species
UUUCCUUUAGCUUAAAUUUAAAGCAUCAACUUGAAGCGUUGGGGAUAAUUUAAUUAGGGAAAC